AUGCACACACACACACACACACACACGCACACGCACACGCACACGCACACAGGCACACAGGCACACAGGCACACGCACAGGCACAUGCACGCCUCUUGCUGCAGCUCUGAAAGCAAACAGGUUGAGAGGCAGCUUCAAAAGUGGCGAGCUGGAGCUGGACUGAGGCUGGGACAGGGCCAUUCCCCUGGGGGUGGCGGCUUCGCGGGACAGGAGGGAUCGAGAAAUCAUUUCAUCUUCAUCCUGCUUUUAAUCAGGGUGGCAGGAUAUUGGUGCCACUUUUGUCUAAAGAUAAUCUCUUUUCUAAAUAAUAAUAAAAAAAAAAGUUUCAGCUGUGGUUCUGGAAAACCCACUAUCCCAAGAAGAAAAUUAAAACUGAAACACAAAGUAUGCAAUUUCACACACAAAAUAUAUAUACACUUUUCAGAUGAAACUCAUACAUUAUCCUUUUGAGCAAUGUUAGCCCCUUUGCACUUUAAAACAAAAGUGGAAGCUUAUGUGCAAUCAUAGCCCUUUACCAGAAUGCACAGAAGGAUUUUAGAUUUCAUUGGUAUAUGUACAAAAUAUUUGUUUUAGAGUUUUGGGGGAAAAAAAGCAUCUUUCUGAAAGAUCUAUAGGAAUAUUGUCACACAUUUUCCCAAAGUCUGAAGAUAACUCUCCAUUUAUGUGGUUCAAGCAUCACCUCCAUUGGAAGGCUUAUUCCCUGAUCUGUGGGGACAUUUUUAUGUCUAUGACAGUCCAGAAGAGAGAUGGACGGGAAACUCGAUUCUCACAGUUAUUUUCCAACAAAGUCAAACUCUUAUUGAUCAAAAAUGAAAAAUGAUAGAGUGAUCCAACUGAUGCCACAGGAAAACUGGUCUAAUAAUUUUAGAAUUUCACUACUCUUGUUUUAAACCUUGAAGAGAGAAAGAUAAGCAAGCCUCUACUUGCAGAAUGUUAUAUAAUAGGAGGGUUUUCAAAAGAAGCAUUUAUCAAAUAAUAUUAGCUGUGCUUCAAAAGGUAUUUUAAUAACCCCAAAGUGAACUACCAUCACUAGUAGCAAUACCAGUAAAAUAAAAAAAAAACGCCAGCAUAGAGAACCA
rnacentral:lncRNA from 12 species